rnacentral:rRNA from 1 species
AUCGAACGCUGGCGGCAUGCCUAACACAUGCAAGUCGAACGAGUGGAGGAGGGGUGAGUGGUGUCGGGGAAACUGCCCGAUGGAGGGAGAUAACUACUGGAAACGGUAGCUAAUACCGCAUACCAUCGGAUGUGCCCAGGUGGGAUUAGCUAGUAGGUGGGGUAACGACUCACCUAGGCGACGAGCCCUAGCUGGUCUGAGAGGGUGACCGACCACACUGGGAAGGAGACACGGCCCAGACUCCUACGGGAGGCAGCAGGGGGGAAUCGUGCACAAUGGGCGCAAGCCUGAUGCAGCCAUGCCGCGUGUGUGAAGAAGGCCUUCGGGUUGUAAAGUUCGUUUGGCGAGGAGGCGUUACUCGCCGAGGAAGCACCGGCUAACUCCGUGCCAGCAGCCGCGGUAAUUC